rnacentral:rRNA from 1 species
AACGAACGCUGGCGGCAGGCUUAACACAUGCAAGUCGAGCGCCCCGCAAGGGGAGCGGCAGACGGGUGAGUAACGCGUGGGAAUCUACCCAUCUCUACGGAAUAACGCAUGGAAACGUGUGCUAAUACCGUAUACGUCCUUCGGGAGAAAGAUUUAUCGGAGAUGGAUGAGCCCGAGUUGGCUUAGCUAGUUGGUGGGGUAAAGGCCUACCAAGGCGACGAUCCAUAGCUGGUCUGAGAGGAUGAUCAGACACACUGGGACUGAGACACGGCCCAGACUCCUACGGGAGGCAGCAGUGGGGAAUAUUGGACAAUGGGCGCAAGCCUGAUCCAGCCAUGCCGCGUGAGUGAUGAAGGCCCUAGGGUUGUAAAGCUCUUUCACCGGUGAAGAUAAUGACGGUAACCGGAGAAGAAGCCCCGGCUAACUUCGUGCCAGCCGCCGCAGUAAUAC